AGCGGAAGAAGUGGGAAACAACUCCGGUCGAUAUAGCGAAGGAGUUAUCGAAGAGUUUGGCUUCAAAUGCUUUGAUUUCUCAGGUGGAUGGUGUGUUGUGGGACAUGUCGAUGUCUUUGGAAGGUGAUUGUCAGCUCAAUAUUUUCACUUUUGAUAUCAAUGAGGGUUGUGAUACGUUUCGUCGUUUUGGCAUUCGAGUGCUCAAAUUCUCGGGCAUGUGAAUUUAGGGGCUCCUUCAUCAUUGCUCUCCUUCUUCUGUCCUCUUUUGUCUUUUUUCAAGGAUCAAUGCAACAGGCUUUAUGGUUAUAGUGGAAACAGAGGAACAAUUAGAAGUGUCCUUUUCAAGACCAUGGGAUCCUUCCCUUAAGGGAAAACUUGCUCAAAAUCCUUCUCUUCGCGUGCUUUAGUUAUUCUUUCUCAAUAUCUUAUUCUUUGUAUGCAGAUGGAAAUGAUUUAUCAACUGCUAUCGGCAAGAAAGUACUAUUCUUUCUAAUUUAUCAUUUAUAUUAUUUAUUUUUGAAAUAGUUUGGUACUUGCUUUUGAGUGAGAAUGCAGGAUGUAGAUUGGAGAGAAAGAUGGCUUUUCAACACAUUCUCUUUUCUAAAAAAGGGUUAUUGAUGUCAUCGAGGCAAACACAGAUGAUUUAGUACCUUUGAGUCUUGAUUCAUCUUGAAAAAAACCUCUUAGCUUCUUGAAAAUUUACCGAGCAAAAACAUGUGAUCAAUUAUAAUUCCAGUCACGCUGAGAACUGAUGCGCCUGAAAAUUAGCGAGGACGAAAUGAGAGAUAAAAGGUGUGAAACUCGAGCGACUGAUUUUGUGAAAAACGAUAACAAUGUCAUCAUAAAGCUUGAAAAUGCGGCCAUCGAAUGAUCAAAGUCAGUUGACUCUGCUGUUCUUGGAAAGUACAUUAUAUUGGAGAAAAGAGAAUGAUAAUGAGAACAUUGACACAGCUAUAUGAUUGGUCCGGGAUCAAAUGAUUAUGGCUAGGGUUUAUAUGAGCAUUGCAACAAUGAAUAACAAACAAGACACAAUUAGCAUAUGAACUGCAAAGUCAACCUAAAGAAAGUCAACGUACUUUGGGAGAGGCUACUGCAAAUGCUGAUCUUAAUCACAGGUUAGUAGGUGCCUAUAAUUUCAAGGAUGAACUUUAGUUAUAUGUAAUUAAUAAUUGGUCAAACUAAUAAAUAAAGUUUUUUUAGCUCACACGGAAAUCAAUCAAAAUAUACUCUUUAAAACCUCCUAACGUGCUAUAUUUUAAAAGAGUUGAUUCUUGUGUAUUAAAACUUAUUAGCUCACACACUGAUUACUUUUAUUUGAAAAUGGAUAUGGAAUAGGAAUCUGUAUCUUUUUGUUGAUGCAUAAAUCAUAAUAGCUUUGAAAGGCUAAUGAAUGAUAAGUUAACACAUGUUGCUAUCAUGUGCAUUUAACCCUGCUUGCUUUGUCGAGCUCUCAUGAAAAGAAUUGAUUUCUAAUAUGGAAUUGAGAUAAGGUUCUCUUUGCCACCCCUAAUUAUCUCUUUUGUUGAAUAGCAUUUGAUUUUUGUGGUGAAUAAACCUAUAAUUUAGUGUCUCAUACCAUCAUUAAAGGAAUAUUGUAUUUGUAUGUCAUAAUGAGCUAACUUUUCUAUUAUAACCAAAAUCAACCCAUUUGACCUGUUUACUUUUCUGACCGUUUACUUAUAUUAAAACUAAUAACAUUAAAUGUAUAUGUGACUUUAUCACUCUUACCGUCUAGAUACCUAAAUAUGUAUGAAUUUAUGAUUUAUUUAUACAUUUAUGGUUAAA